rnacentral:rRNA from 1 species
AUGCUGCACUACAGGCAUAUCAGAGAUGUCAGUUUAUGCAAAGUAUGUCAAGCCAAAGAGGAAGAUCAGGAGCAUGCAUUACUACACUGCUCACAUGCCCGACGGUUCUGGGAAGAAGCUAGGUUGGUGUUGGACAUCAAACUGCCAAGGCUUCAUCCAUCCUCUUGGGCGAGCGAUAUUUUAUGCGGCUCAAUGUUCAGUGGAAAGGAGCGCGCAACAAUAAUCACCAUCAUGUGGUCUAUUUGAAGCUCUCGUAACAGGUGCACACAUGACGGAGAGAAGUAUGAUCCGGUGACUUCUAUUAGACUCACCAGAGAAGCUUUGGCCUUGCUUGACGUUCCUCAACAGCAGGCAGCUCUCUUGCCAGGUCAUGGCUGGAGGCCACCAAAAUUGGGUCAGGUCAAAAUCAACACCGAUGCGCCGUUCGUCACUUGGCCGGAAUGA